CAGCGUCAUGGCAACUAGCAUCUCCCUUUGUAAGCUGGUAAACUGGUCUAGAGAAAUUCCAUUACCAAGACUCUUCAUUUGCAUUCCUCUAAAAUAAGUUGUGCUGCUUCAAAAAGCCUUAAAGGCUUCAUCAAGCACUGCAUAAACUAAGUAGAUCAUGUAUAAAUAAUGUAUCGGCUAUCACUACGCUUUAAUCUUUACAGGAUCUUUAGACCAGGUUAGUCAGAAUGACUCUGGCAGCUGGUUCCUGGUCCUGCGACUGACUCCAGGUCUGCAGUUUGCUGUCCAAUUCAGCACUGCCUCCAGCAUGGCUUUGCUGCUGCAAAGGCAAGCUCCCUGCAUGGCACCCUUCACUGCGGUGGGACCUUCUCAGGGAAAAGAUGCUACUUGGCUUUGCUACGUAUUUCCUACAGCACUUGUCCAAGCAUCUCUUCCAUAAAAGAUAACGGAUUAGAACCGUCAGCGUAAAUCAGACUACGUGCUGAUGAUGGAUCGCGUGCUUCAACCUCACGACAGCAGGGUCGCAUUACAGGCACUAGCCAAUGUCAAAGUCAGUGGCCAUGUCUCCUGAGCGCGGAAGCCACCUGCUCCAGCUGUGCCUACCUGCCCUACAGGCACUGGGACCGUGGCUUUAGAAACACCACCUUCGGCCGCCGCUGACCGCCAGGCCCUUCUACAGCCAGCGAGAGACCGAAGCUUCCCUCGCUUUUCCCCAGGGCAGCCAGACCCGCUCACAGGGCUCCCCACUUACUCCUCCUUACGGUGCAGCUCCUCCUCGGACUCGGUGAGCCGCUGCUUCAAGGCCGCGAUCAUCUCCACCGCCACGUCCACCUGCCGGCUCAGGGCGCGCUCCCGCCGCUGCACCUCCUGCUUCUUCUGGGAGAGCUGCACGAAGGCCGCCCGCACCUCCAGCAGCUCCGCCGUUUUCUGAGCCAGCUCUUUGAGCUGGAUCCACUACGAACAGCUUCGCUGCAUUCAUCAGCCUCUGCUCUCCCUUGUUUGCUCACUGGUUGGUUUUGAAGAGGAGUGUCGGAGAGGUUAGUCUCUGCUCAUUGUGCCCACUCU
rnacentral:lncRNA from 1 species